GAUGAAGAACGUAGCGAAAUGCGAUACUUGGUGUGAAUUGCAGAAUCCCGUGAACCAUCGAGUCUUUGAACGCAAGUUGCGCCUCAAGCCAUUAGGUUGAGGGCACGUCUGCCUGGGCGUCACAUAUCGUUGCCUGAUGCCAGUUUCCUCGUGAUGGGUGACUGUGCAGGGCGAAUGAUGGCUUCCCGUGAGCAUUGUUGCCUCAUGGUUGGUUGAAAAUUGAGUCCUUGGUAGGGAGCGCCGUGAUAGAUGGUGGUUGAGUGACGAACGACACCCAAUCAUGUGAGACCCCUACCGAAUUUGGCCUUCAUGACCCACAUGCGUCUUUGGAACGCUCAUGACGAGACCUCAGGUCAGGCGGGGCUACCCGCUGAGUUUAAGCAUAUCAAUAAGCGGAGGA
rnacentral:misc_RNA from 1 species